AGAGUGUGUGUGUGUGUGUUGUGUGUGUAUGUGUGUGUGUUUUUGUGUGUGUGUGUGUGUGUGUGUGUGUGUGUGUGUGUGUGUGUGUGUGUUGGGGGGACCUAGGCAAGGAAGGAGAGCAAAAAUGGGGUAUAGGAGGAAGUAGCCAGCUG